GAUGAACGCUAGCUACAGGCUUAACACAUGCAAAUCGAGGGGAAACGAUAGGGAAAGCUUGCUUUUUCUAGGCGUCGACCGGCGCACGGGUGAGUAACGCGUAUCCAACCUGCCCAUCACUUGGGGAUAACCUUGCGAAAGUAAGACUAAUACCCAAUGACGUCUCUAGAAGACAUCUGAAGGAGAUUAAAGAUUUAUCGGUGAUGGAUGGGGAUGCGUCUGAUUAGCUUGUUGGCGGGGUAACGGCCCACCAAGGCGACGAUCAGUAGGGGUUCUGAGAGGAAGGUCCCCCACAUUGGAACUGAGACACGGUCCAAACUCCUACGGGAGGCAGCAGUGAGGAAUAUUGGUCAAUGGACGAGAGUCUGAGCCAGCCAAGUAGCGUGCAGGAAGACGGCCCUGUGGGUUGUAAACUGCUUUUAUAAGGGAAUAAAGUGAGUCUCGUGAGACUUUUUGCAUGUACCUUAUGAAUAAGGACCGGCUAAUUCCGUGCCAGCAGCCGCAGUAA
rnacentral:rRNA from 1 species